AGAGUUUGAUCAUGGCUCAGGAUGAACGCUAGCGACAGGCCUAACACAUGCAAGUCGAGGGGCAGCACAAGGUAGCAAUACUGAGGUGGCGACCGGCGCACGGGUGAGUAACGCGUAUGCAACCUGCCUGUAACAGGGGAAUAGCCUCUUGAAAGAGAGAUUAAUGCCGCAUAAUACGAGAUUCGGGCAUCCGGAUUUAGUUAAACAUUUAUGGGUUACAGAUGGGCAUGCGUUUCAUUAGGUAGUUGGUGAGGUAACGGCUCACCAAGCCGACGAUGAAUAGGGGUUCUGAGAGGAAGGUCCCCCACACUGGUACUGAGACACGGACCAGACUCCUACGGGAGGCAGCAGUGAGGAAUAUUGGUCAAUGGACGCAAGUCUGAACCAGCCAAGUCGCGUGAAGGAUGAAGGUAUUAUGUAUUGUAAACUUCUUUUGUCAGGGAAUAAUGGGUGUCACGUGUGACGCAGAGGAAUGUACCUGACGAAUAAGCAUCGGCUAACUCCGUGCCAGCAGCCGCGGUAAUACGGAGGAUGCGAGCGUUAUCCGGAUUUAUUGGGUUUAAAGGGUGCGUAGGCGGUUUGUUAAGUCAGUGGUGAAAGUUUGCGGCUCAACCGUAAAAUUGCCAUUGAAACUGGCGAACUUGAGUACAGUAGAGGUAGGCGGAAUUCGUGGUGUAGCGGUGAAAUGCUUAGAUAUCACGAAGAACUCCGAUUGCGAAGGCAGCUUGCUGGACUGUAACUGACGCUGAGGCACGAAAGCGUGGGGAUCAAACAGGAUUAGAUACCCUGGUAGUCCACGCCGUAAACGAUGAAUGCUAGCUGUUAGCGAUAUACUGUUAGCGGCACAGAGAAAUCGUUAAGCAUUCCACCUGGGGAGUACGCCGGCAACGGUGAAACUCAAAGGAAUUGACGGGGGCCCGCACAAGCGGAGGAACAUGUGGUUUAAUUCGAUGAUACGCGAGGAACCUUACCUGGGCUUAAAUUGCAGUGGAAUAACGUGGAAACAUGUUAGCCUUCGGGCCGCUGUGAAGGUGCUGCAUGGUUGUCGUCAGCUCGUGCCGUGAGGUGUCGGCUUAAGUGCCAUAACGAGCGCAACCCUCAUCGAUAGUUACUAACAGGUUAAGCUGAGGACUCUAUCGAGACUGCCGACGUAAGUCGUGAGGAAGGUGGGGAUGACGUCAAAUCAGCACGGCCCUUACGUCCAGGGCUACACACGUGUUACAAUGGGGGGUACAAAGGGCAGCUACCUGGCGACAGGAUGCUAAUCUCAAAAACCUCUCUCAGUUCGGAUUGGAGUCUGCAACCCGACUCCAUGAAGCUGGAUUCGCUAGUAAUCGCGCAUCAGCCACGGCGCGGUGAAUACGUUCCCGGGCCUUGUACACACCGCCCGUCAAGUCAUGGGAGCCGGGGGGACCUGAAGUAUGCAACCGUAAGGAGCGUCCUAGGGUAAAACUGGUGACUGGGGCUAAGUCGUAACAAGGUAGCCGUA
rnacentral:rRNA from 1 species